rnacentral:rRNA from 1 species
UACGUAGGGGCAAGCGUUGUCCGGAAUAAUUGGGCGUAAAGGGCGCGUAGGCGGCAAGGCAAGUCAGCAGUGGAAGUCCCAUUUUCAAGGUGGGGAGGGCUGUUGAAACUGCGUUGCUUGAGUGCAGGAGAGGUUAUCGGAAUUCCCGGUGUAGCGGUGAAAUGCGUAGAGAUCGGGAGGAACACCAGUGGCGAAGGCGGGUAACUGGACUGCAACUGACGCUGAGGCGCGAAAGUGUGGAGAGCAAACAGGAUUAGAUACCCCGGUAGUCCCU